rnacentral:lncRNA from 1 species
CUAUCAGUCAUGAAGUGCGCUACAGCAGCACGUGACACAUGAUGAAAUUGCAGUUUCUUUUCUUUCAAAACAGAUGAAAAAUUGAAGUUCCUGGGUGAGUAUCAUCUGCAAGUUUUAGAUUCAAAUCCACCGAUGUCUAUUAAAGUUGAUCUAUCCGCCGAUGUCAAGGAUCCCAUAAGGUAAGUUAUUCUAGUCAGUUUAUACAUUUAGCUAUUUGCAAUUCACCUGCAAAUGUAUCAGUUUACUUGUGUUCUAACAUGACUUUGCCUGCAGCGUUUGCAUUCUGCGCAUGUUGUUUCUGUAUAGAUGCAUAUAACAUAAAGGUAUAUUACUACAGCUUAUUGUAUUAUUGCAACUUAUUGUAUUAUUACAGCUUAUUGUAUUAUUACAGCUCAUUUUAUUAUUACAGCGCAUCAAGGUAAAAUUCAAGUAAAAUAACACUGAUGCAGAAACUUGAAGUUCUAAUCUGCUAAAUACUGGCGUUGUAAGUGACUUUUAUAAACAAGGUUUAAAGAAAAAUUAUAUUAAAUGAAAUCAUGCAUUAACAGAGUGUCAGGAUAAACGAAUGCCCAACACGUAGAACUUAAGUAAAAAAUAAAGAAAACCCUAAGACGUAUUACCGGCCUUAGACUGGCCAGAUUUUAACGUAUAAAAAGAUAAACCACAAGAACAAAGAAAUCACGGAAACUAUAAAUAAGCCAAAAGUUGAGGGAUCUAGAGGUCAGAAUAGUCAGGAGCCAAGCUAAAGGUCAAGGGAUAUAGAGAUCGGAUAGUCAAUACGAAAGCCAAGGUCAAAAUACACAUGAAUCAAUACCAGAAGCGUGCUCUCGGAUAGCCAGAAUGAAAACCACGACAGAGAAAUGGACAAAAAAGGAUUAUAUAGCCUAAGGUGCUCCCUGAUUGGCUGCAGUGAAGCAUGUGAUAGUGAAUGUGUGUGUGUGUCAUCACCCACACGUUCCAAAUGGUAUGGCACUAUAAGGGUUAAUAACCAAACCCUUACCCUUAAAAGGAUCUAACUUGCAGCGGCCGUUGUCUCUAAUGAUUACAGACCCGGCCGCUGUGUGAGGGGGAGAAGUUCCUGUCAGAGGCAUCUCAGGAGGAGGUGAGUGAUAGGCAGCAUUCCCAUUACCACGUAGGAAUGCCGCCACAACGAGAUGCACCCGUCGGAUCCCAUUCCGCUCCCGGGUAUGAGUGGACCCGGCAGGUGCCUGCAGAUCUGAUAAGUAUUCGCCGGCUUGAUGUGAGGGAAUGCCGCCGCAACGAUGCGCACCUGCUGGGACCAAUAUUGCUCUCUGGCAGGAGUUGACCUGCCGGGCGGCGUGACACAGAGCUGCUUCGGUUCUUCUAAUAAGUAUGGAUUUGGGACUCCGUUUAUCUCCCUCUAAAACCAUAUGGAACUUAAAAUUCCUUUCUCUACAACCCGUGAAGUUUAUAUUAUAAUUGUACUGAUGCCUCUGCUUCUUCUUCCUUUCCAUGGCUGAUGGAUUUUGAGUUAGAAAAAAAAUAAAAAAGGUCGCUGAGGUCUCCUCUAUCCACUUUUAAAGGGAAACUCCAGUGCCAGGAAAACAAUCCGUUUUAAUGGCACUGCAGGUCCCCUCUCACCCCCCAAUCCCUGGUUGCUGAAGGGGUGAAAACCCCUUCAGUAACUUACCUUAGGCAGCGACAAUGUCCCACAUCACUGCUUCUCCCUCCGCCGCCGCUCCUCCUAGUGAUUGCGUCAGCCGGUGGACAUUAGAGCUCCCCCUAGGAAAGCAUUGAAAAUGCUUUUCAAUGCUUUCCUAUGGGGAAAUGAGCGACGCUGGAGGUCCUCACACAGCGUGAGGACGUCCAGCGAUGCUCUAGCACAGGUUUGAUCCAGCAAGUGCUAUGAUCCAGGAAGUGCCCUCUAGUGGCUGUCUAGUAGACAGCCAUUAGAGGUGGAGUUAACCCUGCAAGGUAAUUAUUGCAGUUUAUAAAAACCUGCAAUAAUUACACUUGCAGGGUUAAGGGUAGUGGGAGUUGGCACCCAGACCACUCCAAUGGGCAGAAGUGGUCUGGGUGCCUGGAGUGUCCCUUUAAUCAUAUCUUGUACAACACAAGGAAUGAAUACACCAACAUUAGUGGUUUUGUCGCACCAUAAUGUUAGAGUGAGCUGAGCCCACCAACUGAUUAUUAUUAUAUUUAUAUAGCGCCAACAAAUUCUGUAGCGCUUUACAAUGGGUGGACUAACAAACAUGUAAUUGUAACCAGAGAAGUUUAACGCACAGAAACAGAGGGGUUGAGGUCCCUGCUCAAUGAACUUACAUGCUAGAAGGAGUGGGGUAAAGUGACACAAAAUGUAAUCUAUAGUAUCUAUAGUGUCCUCAUAGAGGUGGGCUCUAACUUAAUUUUAUCCAUGAUCGAUAAUUAAUAUUAUGCUAAUCCACAUUGCUUAACAAGAUCAGAUGCCUACUGUGUACUUUUCCCCAUGACACUCUGGGACACACAACCCCAAAAUGUUUUGUUUAAUGGUAAUGUCUUCAUUGUUUAAAGGGACACUCCAGGCUUUCACACGUACAAGUCCAUAAUCCAUCUAUUUUUAAAAAUUAAUCUCAAGUUUUGUGCCAUGAGCUCUCCCUCUGUUUCAACCUUCCAGUUUUUAAAUUUUUCUCCAAAAAUACUGUUGACCUUGAUGUUGCGACUCAGGGUUCUCAGAGCGGUAGUGUGGAUAAUUGUUUGUUGUUUUUUUUUUACAGGUGAAAGCUUUUAAUUAAACUACAACCUCCAUGAACCUUUCUGUUCUCAUAAAGCACUGCUUACAGUAUAAGCUCUGUGAAUGGUAAGUGGGCAUUUUGAAGUAGUUGAUGUGGCUGUAAAGUAUAUGAUUCAACUGUAUGUGGGCAUUAUGCUUAAAUGCAGACACUGAUUAUUGCCAUUUUUAGUAAGCCAUACUGCUGGCAAUGCCUUCAAGAGUCUUUCAAAUACCUAUAAACAAGGUAUUUGACCAUUUUUAUUUAUCUAUUUGUGACACCUACUGAAUGCAAGAAAAAUAGCAUUUUUGCUUUUAUACUAACAAUUUACCCUGUGUGAAAUAUUGUAAGAUAAAGGACAUUGUAUACUGUCUAUAUCUGUUCAUUUCCCAAAUAUUUUUUUUAUAAAUGCUGAACGAAUAAGUAAAAAUUAAAAAUGUUUGUAAAUUCACAAAAUCAUAAUUUAAAUGUAUACAUUUGUUUGUAGAGCAUUAUAUACACAAUUGCUGUGGUCUGAUAUGUUUAAAUACUAGCAAUGUAUCUCUUGCUUCAAAUACACCAUACUAAAAUGCUUAUAAUCAAAAAGCAUUGAAGGUAAAGCAAUAUUUAAUUAAUACACAACUCUGUUUAUAUUUUGAGAAUAUUCAGUGCCUGAUUUGUAGGCAUAUUUUAAUUCCCAGUGAUGACUCAGGUACAAUUGGUAAAACAUGUUGGGGAAUCAAUCACGGCAAAUUAUGAAGAAUAAUACCAUCAACUCACGGGGUUAUUGUCUGCCAAUGACACAGAAAGGGACAUUACAUAUUUCUGUACAUUCCGAGUGGAGUGUUUUUCCAUUUUCCUCUUGUUAUACCUGGUUAUUCAUUAAUAUAUGAUUUGUUAGGAAUUUAAAGUUCAUUUAGAAAUUUAGGCCACAGUUAUAAUACGCCUAUUUAUUAUUAUUACUUGGAAAAUAUUAGAUUUCAUCUUAUACAUAAGAAAAAAAAAGGUAAAAGGAAAUCAAAUUCUGUCUAUUUCGAACUUGUUAACCUUCCUGUAUUUUUCAGUUUGUCUGUCAGGUGAGCUGUCUUCUCACACUCACUGAUUUUUGUUUCCAUUUUGAUUUAUUAUCAUUUACCUUUCUUCUUUGUAAACUCAACAAGCCUGUUUCAGUAACAAUAUCAGCAUUACUGGCAUUCCCCCCAAACUCAGUCUCAUCACGUUACUUCUGCUGCAUUCAAGCUAUAUAUUAAACACUGUGACAACUAAUUAGGUUUGAACAUUUUUGGGGAAGAUGAGAGGCAGAGGCACGCUUUCUGGAAUUCACGGAAAAGAUGAGUGGAUUAUUCUGAAUUGAACAAAGUCAGUGGGAUAAACUAAGGAAAGGGUCAAGAACAUGAAGUCAGUCCUUAAAGGACCACUAUAGGCACCCAGACCACAUCAGCUCAAUGAAGUGGUCUGGGUGCCAGGUCCAUCUAGGGUUAACCCUGCAGCUGUAAACAUAGCAGUUUCAGAGAGAUAUGUUUACAUAUGGGUUAAUCCAGUCUCUAGUGGCUGUCUCAUUGACAGCCGCUAGAGGCACUUCCACGCUUCUCACUGUGAUUUUCACAGUGAGAAGAAGCCAGAGUCCAUAGGAAAGCAUUGAGAAUGCUUUCCUAUGGACUGACUGAAUGCGCGCACGACUCUUGACGCGCAUGCGCAUUCAUCGGAAGAGGGAGGAGAGUCCCCAGCGCCGAGGUAGCCCGGUGCUGGAGAAAGGUAAUUGAAUAACCUCUUCCUCCCCCUGGAGCCUGGCGGGAGGGGGGCCAUGAUGGUGGGGGGAUCUAUUAACACUAUAGUGCCAGGAAAACAAGUUUGUUUUCCUGGCACUAUAGUGGUCCUUUAACCCACAAAAUGUGCCUCAGUCACCUCAAAUAUGAGAAAAAACAUAUGUUAAACUACUUAGACAUGCCCCAAAACACAGACUGAUCCAUCCAUCCCAAUGUUAUUUGACCAUGAGCAAGCAUACAUAAAAGGGACACUAUAGACACCAAAACAACUUUAGCUUAAUGAAGCAGUUUUGGUAUACAGAUCAUGUCCCUGCAAUCUCACAGCUCAAUUCUCUGCUAUGUAGGAGUUAAAUCACUUUUGUUUCUGUUUAUACAGCUCUCACCACACGUCUCCCGGCUGUGACUCACACAGUCUGAAUGAAAAAAAACGGUGUAAUUUAAUCAGAUCACUGGCAUUAUAGUGUAUUUACUCCAGACGUUAUUUUAACUCCUGCUCUGUUAAUAGAACUUUAAUGACACACAGGAGGCUCCAGCAGGCUCUAGCAGGUCUUGAGUGAUUGAACUCUUCCUCGGGCUCCCUUCUGUCAGCUGGUGACAGAAUUGGUGGCCACAGACUGACCAAUGGUCUGAUUGUUGAGCUCAAAGUGAGCAUGUCAAGGUUUUGUGUAUGGAACCCAAAAAUGCAGAACUUGCACUAGCAAAAUAAUAAACAAAAGUCCAAACAAACAAAUUAAAUAGGGCAAGGCAAAGGCAGAGUCAGGCAAUCCCAGGUUCAAAGUCCAGGCAGCAAAGGUUCAGUAAGGGUGAGGCAAUCCAAGGUCAGGGAACAGAUAGUUGGAAAACAGGUAACACAGGUAACAGUAGGAUAUAGCACAGAACAACUGAGCAACAAAGACUCAGGUGUUCCAGGUUUAAAAAGGCAGCCAGAUUGAAAGCCCACCUACUUUGACAAGCUUUCAUAACACGCUAUUGGUGUAUGGGGCUGUCUAACAUCUGGGGAUGAAAUGAGGAAGUGAUUACCUAUUAAUUUGUUCCAGCCUUGCUGUUCUGCGGUGUGGAACGAUCGUGCAUGCCUCCCAGCUUCAAUGGUUGCCUGGUAGACAUGACUAGAUCGGAGUUCAUAGGUCGGGGCCCACCCCAUGCCAUCGCGCAUGCGUGCGUUAGGGCGGCCUCAAUCUGGAGAUGCCGCCAGAGCAGCAAGGGAACGAAGGUAAGUCCUGACAGAGUGUUGCAAACAGGUAUUUAAAUGGGGAUUUAAGUCCCCAUUAUUACAAAUCCAUUUGAGCAUGGUUAAUAACCUUCUCACACCAGGGAAUCACCGGUAUUAAUGGAGACUUGGGGCUCUUCUCUUUCACCUGGAGCCAAUUUUAGUGGCCCCAGACUGGCAGGUGAGCUGCAUGCAGAGCUCAGAGCAAAAUUGGCAUACAGCUCUUAUAGUGAGGAUUUAAAUCCCCAAAGACAGCGAUGUAGUGUGAGCAGGGUUAGACUCCUCUCUGUCAACUGGGGCCACCUUAGAGGAUCCAGUUGACUGAUAGUCAACACUGCAGCUGAACGAUCACGCUUAGCUACAGUGACUCUCUCACUGGAUAUGGUGAUUGGGAAACGGCAAGGGGGUUAAGCUUAAGUUGUUUUCGUGCUUAUAGUGUUCCUUUAAAUGUUACAUUAAUUCAGUGCCUAUAGAAACUUAGAAACCGGAUAUAAAUAAAGUUUGUGCUUUCGAUAAAUUGUAAUUGAAGUAUGUAUUAUAGGAAAUAAUAUCUUCAGAGUCUUUAUUUUCCCUGGAUAACAAUUUCAACAUUCUUUAUCUUUUAUAUUACACAGUCCCUGUACUGUACGGUGGUCGUCAAUCGUUUUGUGCAACAUGUGAGUCUAAAACUUGAUGCGCCCAUAGAAUUAAUGGAACUAAAUCAUAUUUUAAAACACAAUUUACAGAAAGAUAAAUGUAACUGACCAUAUAACAACACAUUUCUCCUUAACAGAGAGCAGAUCCCUGGCCGAGAAACUCCAACCAUUGAUAAUAGCGUAGAGUUGAAAAGGAUGGUCGUCUCAUUGGUCAGACUGUCCUCCGGAGCUGUUCAGUUAUCCACAGAUCGAUGCUGCAGCUGGCUGCAAAGUUAAACGUGACUUAACUCUCUUAAAGUAGAGGUUCUUGAAAAAAAAAAAGAGAAGUAUUUUGUUACCCAAACUGUGGUCAUCAUUGUAAAAAUAAAACUUCCUUAAAGGACAACUGUCCUCAAAUUUUUAAA